UACGGAGGGGGCUAGCGUUGUUCGGAAUUACUGGGCGUAAAGGGCGCGCAGGCGGCUGCUCAAGUCAGGCGUGAAAGGCCUGGGCUCAACCCGGGAAUUGCGCUUGAGACUGGGCUGGCUUGAGUGCGGGAGAGGAUGGUGGAAUUCCCAGUGUAGAGGUGAAAUUCGUAGAUAUUGGGAGGAACACCAGUGGCGAAGGCGGCUCACUGGACCGGUACUGACGCUGAGGCGCGAAAGCGUGGGGAGCAAACAGG
rnacentral:rRNA from 1 species